AUUAUACUUCCUCCGUCCCAAAAUUCUUGUUUUAAGUUUGUUUAAAAAUAAAUGUAUCAAAAUAUUAAAAUAUGCUUAGAUACAUCCAUAUCUAUAUAAAUUUAAGACAAGAAUUUUGAAACGGGGAAGUAUAAA
rfam:Hordeum vulgare subsp. vulgare, WGS project CAJW01000000 data, contig: morex_contig_1570571